CUCCUCUUUCUCUCUCACUAGCUGCCGCCGCCAGCCCCUCCGCCGGCCCUGCUCGCCACCGUCGGCAGGUGCCUUCCCCUCUCUCCCUUUUCCCUUCUAUUUCUCUCUCUUUCUCCCUCAUCUCUCUGUUAAGGACCUUCUCCUUAACCGCGAUCUUCAGCGUGUUUGCGGCGAUCGAAAAGUGUUCCGGCACUCUUUGUCGGGUCGGCGGAAAUAAUAGUUUCAAGUUGUGCGCGGGUUCUUCCUGUCGGGCAACGCGAUAACCAACGCGAUAACCAGGGUUUGUAGAGAAUUCCUAUUGCCCUUUGUCGGGUCAGCAGAAAUAAUAGUUUCAAGUUGUGCGCGGGUUCUUCCCGUCAGGCAACGCGAUAACUAGGGUUUGUAGAGAAAUAGGUUGGACAAAUAAUAAAUUUAAUUGGAAGGAAUUGACGAAUCAAAAGAUAUAACUAAAUAAUAAGAUAUAGGAUCGUAUCACUAUCUCGCUCUCUGUUUCACACCACUCUCUCUCCAGCUCUCCCUCUCUCGGAUUUGCCGCCGCCGCCACUGUGCAUGCACAGGCGGCGGCUUCGGCCUCCUCCGCACGCCGUUGCUACACGUGGUGGAAAUCCCCCGCUGCUGCCCUCUCUCCGUCAGUUCUCGCCGGCCACCUCUCCGCCGGUUUUGACAAGCAGUGAGUAGAGGCGGUGAAAUCAGUGACGAAUCGGGGUGUGAGGCUGCCACCGUCGGCGACGGCGUGCCGUCGCUGGAGCGCCAUGCCGGAAAUCCGGGCAGCAGCUCCCCCACAAAAGAAGCCUCUAACCAAGUAGUUAUUUAAUUCCAUAGGCCCUCGCUUAUUACUCUCAUGUUUUUAGGCGACUUAGAGCAUAUUUAUUGAGUAUUUGUUGAACAAAUCAUAAGUUUGGUGUUCUUAAA